UACGUAGGGUGCGAGCGUUGUCCGGACUUAUUGGGCGUAAAGAGCUCGUAGGCGGUCUGUCGCGUCGGUCGUGAAAACUUGGGGCUUAACCCUGAGCUUGCGGUCGAUACGGGCAUGACUGGAGUUCGGUAGGGGAGACUGGAAUUCCUGGUGUAGCGGUGAAAUGCGCAGAUAUCAGGAGGAACACCGGUGGCGAAGGCGGCUCUCUGGACCACAACUGACGCUGAGGCGCGAAAGCUAGGGGAGCAAACAGG
rnacentral:rRNA from 1 species